rnacentral:rRNA from 1 species
GGUUAAGCGACUAAGCGUACACGGUGGAUGCCCUGGCAGUCAGAGGCGAUGAAGGACGUGCUAAUCUGCGAAAAGCGUCGGUAAGGUGAUAUGAACCGUUACAGCCGGCGAUGUCCGAAUGGGGAAACCCAGUGUGAUUCGUCACACUAUCGUUAACUGAAUACAUAGGUUAACGAGGCGAACCGGGGGAACUGAAACAUCUAAGUACCCCGAGGAAAAGAAAUCAACCGAGAUUCCCCCAGUAGCGGCGAGCGAACGGGGAGCAGCCCAGAGUCUGAAUCAGCUUGUGUGUUAGUGGAACGGUCUGGAAAGUCCGACGGUACAGGGUGAUAGUCCCGUACACCAAAAUGCACAGGCUGUGAACUCGAAGAGUAGGGCGGGACACGUGGUAUCCUGUCUGAAUAUGGGGGGACCAUCCUCCAAGGCUAAAUACUCCUGACUGACCGAUAGUGAACCAGUACCGUGAGGGAAAGGCGAAAAGAACCCCGGCGAGGGGAGUGAAAAAGAACCUGAAACCGUGUACGUACAAGCAGUGGGAGCACCUUCGGGUGUGACUGCGUACCUUUUGUAUAAUGGGUCAGCGACUUAUAUUCUGUAGCAAGGUUAACCGUAUAGGGGAGCCGCAGGGAAACCGAGUCUUAACUGGGCGUUAAGUUGCAGGGUAUAGACCCGAAACCCGGUGAUCUAGCCAUGGGCAGGUUGAAGGUUGGGUAACACUAACUGGAGGACCGAACCGACUAAUGUUGAAAAAUUAGCGGAUGACUUGUGGCUGGGGGUGAAAGGCCAAUCAAACCGGGAGAUAGCUGGUUCUCCCCGAAAGCUAUUUAGGUAGCGCCUCGUGAACUCAUCUUCGGGGGUAGAGCACUGUUUCGGCUAGGGGGUCAUCCCGACUUACCAACCCGAUGCAAACUACGAAUACCGAAGAAUGUUAUCACGGGAGACACACGGCGGGUGCUAACGUCCGUCGUGAAGAGGGAAACAACCCAGACCGCCAGCUAAGGUCCCAAAGUCACAGUUAAGUGGGAAACGAUGUGGGAAGGCACAGACAGCCAGGAUGUUGGCUUAGAAGCAGCCAUCAUUUAAAGAAAGCGUAAUAGCUCACUGGUCGAGUCGGCCUGCGCGGAAGAUGUAACGGGGCUAAACUGUGCACCGAAGCUGCGGCAGCGACACUAUGUGUUGUUGGGUAGGGGAGCGUUCUGUAAGCCUGCGAAGGUGGCCUGUGAGGGUUGCUGGAGGUAUCAGAAGUGCGAAUGCUGACAUAAGUAACGAUAAUGCGGGUGAAAAGCCCGCACGCCGGAAGACCAAGGGUUCCUGUCCAACGUUAAUCGGGGCAGGGUGAGUCGACCCCUAAGGCGAGGCCGAAAGGCGUAGUCGAUGGGAAACAGGUUAAUAUUCCUGUACUUGGUGUUACUGCGAAGGGGGGACGGAGAAGGCUAUGUUAGCCGGGCGACGGUUGUCCCGGUUUAAGCAUGUAGGCGGAGGUUCCAGGUAAAUCCGGUACCUUUUUAACGCUGAGGUGUGAUGACGAGGCACUACGGUGCUGAAGUAACAAAUGCCCUGCUUCCAGGAAAAGCCUCUAAGCAUCAGGUAACAUUGAAUCGUACCCCAAACCGACACAGGUGGUCAGGUAGAGAAUACCAAGGCGCUUGAGAGAACUCGGGUGAAGGAACUAGGCAAAAUGGUGCCGUAACUUCGGGAGAAGGCACGCUGAUAUGUAGGUGAAGCCCCUGCGGGUGGAGCUGAAAUCAGUCGAAGAUACCAGCUGGCUGCAACUGUUUAUUAAAAACACAGCACUGUGCAAACACGAAAGUGGACGUAUACGGUGUGACGCCUGCCCGGUGCCGGAAGGUUAAUUGAUGGGGUUAUCCGUAAGGAGAAGCUCUUGAUCGAAGCCCCGGUAAACGGCGGCCGUAACUAUAACGGUCCUAAGGUAGCGAAAUUCCUUGUCGGGUAAGUUCCGACCUGCACGAAUGGCGUAAUGAUGGCCAGGCUGUCUCCACCCGAGACUCAGUGAAAUUGAACUCGCUGUGAAGAUGCAGUGUACCCGCGGCAAGACGGAAAGACCCCGUGAACCUUUACUAUAGCUUGACACUGAACAUUGAGCCUUGAUGUGUAGGAUAGGUGGGAGGCUUUGAAGCGUGGACGCCAGUCUGCGUGGAGCCAACCUUGAAAUACCACCCUUUAAUGUUUGAUGUUCUAACGUUGGCCCCUGACCGGGGUUGCGGACAGUGUCUGGUGGGUAGUUUGACUGGGGCGGUCUCCUCCCAAAGAGUAACGGAGGAGCACGAAGGUUAGCUAAUCCUGGUCGGACAUCAGGAGGUUAGUGCAAUGGCAUAAGCUAGCUUGACUGCGAGCGUGACGGCGCGAGCAGGUGCGAAAGCAGGUCAUAGUGAUCCGGUGGUUCUGAAUGGAAGGGCCAUCGCUCAACGGAUAAAAGGUACUCCGGGGAUAACAGGCUGAUACCGCCCAAGAGUUCAUAUCGACGGCGGUGUUUGGCACCUCGAUGUCGGCUCAUCACAUCCUGGGGCUGAAGUAGGUCCCAAGGGUAUGGCUGUUCGCCAUUUAAAGUGGUACGCGAGCUGGGUUUAGAACGUCGUGAGACAGUUCGGUCCCUAUCUGCCGUGGGCGCUGGAGAAUUGAGGGGGGCUGCUCCUAGUACGAGAGGACCGGAGUGGACGCAUCACUGGUGUUCGGGUUGUCAUGCCAAUGGCACUGCCCGGUAGCUAAAUGCGGAAGAGAUAAGUGCUGAAAGCAUCUAAGCACGAAACUUGCCCCGAGAUGAGUUCUCCCUGAGACUUUAAGUCUCCUGAAGGAACGUUAAAGACGAUGACGUUGAUAGGUCGGGUGUGUAAGCGUAGCGAUACGUUGAGCUAACCGAUACUAAUGAACCGUGAGGCUUAACCUU